GGUGUGGAUGGCGUAGUGGUAAGUGUCAUCUACAGAAUACCUUGCAAGUAGGCACUGAAUGUUGGGGAGCACUCCUCUUGAGACAUAAGGUUCGUGGGUUCGAACCCCACAUCUCACCA
rnacentral:tRNA from 1 species